UGCUCUGAGCUGCUGCCACCUGCUGGGCUGGAGCUGGAGCUGGAGCUGCGAAUUCGGAGUCCCGGUUCCCUGUGCCACCUGGCGAGCUCAGCAAACUAAAAGUCUCUUUGUCUUCAUCGUUUCCGGCACUGAUGUGAGCACAUCAUAAGCACAAGACCUGGACACCUUUACAAUCAGAGGUAGCAUCUGUCUGGAACUGUAUCUUGACUCUCACUGGUGCUUUUCCUUUGGUUGAUGCAAAGCUUUUGAAUCCUUUAGGGAGAUGUCAUUGUGAGUAUCUAUGAUACUAUGCUACUACUAUCUAUGAUCAUUGAGAGUAUCUAUGGUACUAUGAUACUACUAUCUAUGAUCAUUGGGAGUAUCUAUGGUACUAUGAUACUACUAUCUAUGAUCAUUGUGAGUGUCUAUGAUAGUCUCCUGUGCCUUCAAAAUCUUUGCCUUCUCCAUAGAACUUUCCCAACUAGCUUGUAAGAUCCAAAGGUGUGAGACACACUGAUCCAGAACAUUCAGGGAGUGUAGUGAGGGGAAGGAAAUAUAAAUUGUCUCGUCAGCAGUUAAUUUUUAUUUUAUUUUAUUUUAUUUUUUUUGAGAUGGAGCCUCGCUCUGUCGCCCAGGCUGGAGUGCAAUGGUGCAAUCUCAGUUCACUGCAACCUCCGCCUCCUGGGUUCAAGCAAUUCUUCUGCCUCAGCCUCCAGAGUAGCUGGGAUUACCGGCACCCACCACCACACCCAGCUAACUUUUUGUAUUUUUAGUAGAGACAGGGUUUCACCAUGUUCGCCAGGCUAGUCUUGGACUCCUGAGCUCAAGUGAUCUGUCGGCCUCGGCCUCCCAAAGUUCUGGGGUUACAGGCAUGAGCCACCGUGGCCGGCCGGCAGUUAUGUUUUGAUGGCCUUUUGAGAAUGGAAGCCUGUGUGGAUUCCGUUGUCUGCCUUGCUGUGGAUCCUGAAAGGUGUUCUGUUGGCACUGGGCGCUGAGCCAGGGGGCAGGCUGUGGUGGUCCAAUGUUCAGUUGGCAUAUUUCCACUUGUACUUCAGGCACCCAACUUCCGCCAUAGCCUAGGGCUUCAGUCUUCACCCUGAGAUCCCUGGUUCCAUCAAGAUGCUCAGCUCCAUUCGGCAACCCGCGGACACCCGAGAUCUCUUUUUAAUGGCAAUGUAUUACUGCACACUUCGUAUUGUCCUAAGUACUCUGUGCACAUUACUGAAGCUAAUCUUUGCAACAAUCCUCUGAGGAGAUACAGUACUGUCAGUACUCCCAUUUUAUCGAUGAGAAUACUCACAGGAAGGUUAAAUAAUUUGCCCAAGUCUCUCAGCCAGUAAGUGAAGGCUUCAGAACUGAAAUCUAGGAGGAAGUUCAAAGCCCCUGGGCCUCACUGUGCUAUACAGUCCAUUCCAAACCCUGAGUCAGCCUCCCUCUGAACGCACUUUUCCAAGUAUAUACAUAUGCACAAGGUACAUUUCCAAGGACCUCCUGGCUCUGAUGAUAUAAAUAUCAUCUCUAAUUGUAGUACAUCAAUAUAACGGAAUACCAUGAAGCCAUUAGAAAAUGGUACAGAUCUAUAUUUAUUGACAUGGGAAAAUAUCCACAAAGCAAAGCGAAAAGCACAUUACAG
ensembl:lncRNA PXN-AS1 PXN antisense RNA 1